rnacentral:rRNA from 1 species
UACGUAGGGUGCAAGCGUUGUCCGGAAUUAUUGGGCGUAAAGAGCUCGUAGGCGGUUUGUCGCGUCUGCUGUGAAAACUCGGGGGCUUAACCCCCGGGCCUGCAGUGGGUACGGGCAGACUAGAGUGCGGUAGGGGAGACUGGAAUUCCUGGUGUAGCGGUGAAAUGCGCAGAUAUCAGGAGGAACACCGGUGGCGAAGGCGGUUCUCUGGGCAUUACCUGACGCUGAGGAGCGAAAGCAUGGGGAGCGAACAGG